UGCUCACCAGAGCCACCUAACAAGACACAAGAAUAAAGGAAGUAGAUUUGCAUGAAGAGCCUCUCCUUCCUAUGAUAAGAGAGGCCUUGGGGCUGCUCCUUAGCUGUGGGCUCAGAGGCAGAGCUCUGGGGUGUCUCCACCAUGGCCUGGACCCCGCUCCUGCUCACCCUCACUCUCUGCACAGGUUCUGUGGUUUCUUCUGAGCUGACUCAGGACCCUGCAGUGUCUGUGGCCUUGGGACAGACAGCCAGGAUUACCUGCCAGGGAGGUGGCUUAGGAACCUAUUAUGCAAGCUGGUACCAGCAGAAACAGGGCCAGGCCCCUGUGCUGGUCAUCUAUGGUAACAACUACCGGCCCUCAGGGAUCCCAGACCGAUUCUCUGGCUCCAGCUCAGGAAACACAGCUUCCUUGACCAUCACUGGGGCUCAGGUGGAAGAUGAGGCUGACUAUUACUGUGGCUCCUGGGACAGCAGUGGUACUCAUCCCACAGUGACACAGACAGACGGGGAAGUGAGACAGAAACCCCUUCCCUCUCUGUGUCACCCUCUCUCUCCAGCCCCAGCAGGACUAUGAACAAAGCCAUAAGCAGGCCUGGCCCAGUUCACCUGGAUCUGACACCUUCAGGCUGCCCUUCCCUCCAGCCCUCCAGGCAGGCUCUGCAGAAGGUGGGUCAGGAUAGGAUUGGAGACUGGAAGGACCACGCUGUUUU